ensembl:lncRNA
CCGAGCACAGAGUACACAGCACCGAGCACGGAGCGCCGAGCACAGAGCCGCCUUUCAUUACAAAGGGCCGGGAAGCGGCUCCGAGCUGCCAGCAGCACUGACACCGUGCAAGAGGGGAUUUUUCAGGCUGAUGCAGCAACAAAGGCAGUUAAAUCUAGCCAGGGGGAAUUAUUUUUGGUAAUCCAUGUGUUGCUGCUCGUUGGGCGCUGGAGCAGAAGUAAGCAGGGGGAAGCUACCUGGAGAGGAGCAGCUUCCACAAGAAGCACCUGCUGCACUGCUGGACCUGUGUGUGCUGAGGGGGUUUGGGGUGCUGGCAUCCACCUGGAGUCCCUCGUUGCCUGGCAGGGCACAGGGGUGCUGGGCAUGGAAAGCCACCCGUGACACCCACGUCCAUCCUAGGGCAGGAGGAUGCUCCCUUCACUGCCUCUGCAGGGAGUCCAGGAGGUUCACACACCUCAGUGGGACAUUGUGGAGACAGAUCAGGAUGAAGCCCAGACCCUGGAGCCUGUCGAAGGCCGGGAGGGUGUUUCUGAAGGGAUUUGUGUUUUUGGAGACCUGCAUGCCAGCCCCAGUGCUCCCUAGGGAAACACCCUGGGCUCCCCCCAGCCCUGCCAGGUGGAGGAUGCUCCAGUGGCUCAUCACCUCCUCCCAGUGCUUCACACCAGCAGUGGAAGGUGACAGGACCCUGGAGGCUGCAGUGAGCCGUGGCAGUGAUCAGUGACUGUGCUGCCAUGCAGGGACCCACGGCCCCCGCCAUCCCAGGCUCGUGGCCAUCACAGCGUGGCCACAACUCAUCUCCCUGAUGGAGCUCAUCAUCUCAUCCUCUUCUGGUGGCAGCUCCUCACACAUCAGCUGCUGAGCCCAGGAGCCCCUGUGUGGAUCCAGCUGGGGCAAUGGUGUUGCUCCAUUCCCUGAGGAUGCCUUUGCAUCACCCCGGUGCCUUGCAGUGCUGGCUGCUCCUGUAGCAUGUGCCCACACUGUGCUCUGGUUAAUGGUGCAGCCACCACCAGGGUGCCCAGCACCCUGCCCAGACACUUGAACUCCGCCUUGGUGUGGGGUGAAGGUAGUUGAAAAUCCCUCUUCCUCCCCAUCAUCCUCCUCUUCUCCCUGCCCAGCCAGUGUCCACCACUGCAACAAGAUUAAACCAAUUGCACCAUUAUUUGUUCCAUAUUUAAUAAGGGUUUGAGGAGCAGAUCUCCCAGCAAGCCCCUGCUAUCAAUCAAACCUGCACAGAGUCCCCCUUCGUGCCUGCCUUUCCAAGAAGAAAGAAAACAAAAUUGGUCUAAUUUAUUAUUCAUUUGUUCAUUAAGUCUGUAUUAACCAGAUAUAUUAUAAAGGAAAACAGGAUUGCGCCUUUUGAUCAGUAAACCCUCUGCUCAUGAAUAUCCAUGAGGCUCCCCCCUGCCCCAGCACCUCUCCCGUGUGAUGGAGGGGGCAGUGGUGGGUGCUGGCACCGGGCUGGUCCUGGCACUGUUCAGGGCUGGGAAGCUGCUCUCAGCUCUCAGCUCUGUCUGCUUGCAGAGCUCUGGGGAUCAGCUGUGCCAUCCCACGGCACUCCAGAGCUCGCCACUGACGAGUGCCCACAGCUGGCAGGGAGAGGCCAAGCCCUGCUGGGCGCAGGAGGCCGUGGGGACGUGCUGGGGGGCACUGGGGUGAUG